rnacentral:rRNA from 1 species
UACGUAGGGCGCAAGCGUUGUCCGGAAUUAUUGGGCGUAAAGAGCUCGUAGGCGGCUUGUCGCGUCGAAUGUGAAAUCCCGGAGCUCAACUCCGGGUCUGCAGUCGAUACGGGCGGACUCGAGUUCGGCAGGGGAGACUGGAAUUCCUGGUGUAGCGGUGAAAUGCGCAGAUAUCAGGAGGAACACCGGUGGCGAAGGCGGGUCUCUGGGCCGAUACUGACGCUGAGGAGCGAAAGCGUGGGGAGCGAACAGG